GACGAACGCUGGCGGCGUGCUUAACACAUGCAAGUCGAACGGAAAGGCCCUGCUUUUGUGGGGUGCUCGAGUGGCGAACGGGUGAGUAACACGUGAGUAACCUGCCCUUGACUUUGGGAUAACUUCAGGAAACUGGGGCUAAUACCGGAUAGGAGCUCCUGCUGCAUGGUGGGGGUUGGAAAGUUUCGGCGGUUGGGGAUGGACUCGCGGCUUAUCAGCUUGUUGGUGGGGUAGUGGCUUACCAAGGCUUUGACGGGUAGCCGGCCUGAGAGGGUGACCGGCGACAUUGGGACUGAGAUACGGCCCAGACUCCUACGGGAGGCAGCAGUGGGGAAUCUUGCACAAUGGGCGGAAGCCUGAUGCAGCGACGCCGCGUGCGGGAUGACGGCCUUCGGGUUGUAAACCGCUUUCGCCUGUGACGAAGCGUGAGUGACGGUAAUGGGUAAAGAAGCACCGGCUAACUACGUG
rnacentral:rRNA from 1 species